GACGAACGCUGGCGGCGUGCUUAACACAUGCAAGUCGAACGGAAAGGCCCUGCUUUUGUGGGGUGCUCGAGUGGCGAACGGGUGAGUAACACGGGAGUAACCUGCCCUUGACUUUGGGAUAACUUCAGGAAACUGGGGCUAAUACCGGAUAGGAGCUCCUGCUGCAUGGUGGGGGUUGGAAAGUUUCGGCGGUUGGGGAUGGACUCGCGGCUUAUCAGCUUGUUGGUGGGGUAGUGGCUUACCAAGGCUUUGACGGGUAGCCGGCCUGAGAGGGUGACCGGCCACAUUGGGACUGAGAGACGGCCCAGACUCCUACGGGAGGCAGCAGUGGGGAAUAUUGCACAAUGGGCGGAAGCCUGAUGCAGCAACGCCGCGUGCGGGAUGACGGCCUUCGGGUUGUAAACCGCUUUCGCCUGUGACGAAGCGUGAGUGACGGUAAUGGGUAAAGAAGCACCGGCUAACUACGUG
rnacentral:rRNA from 1 species